GUUUAUAUAGUUUAACAAAAACAUUACAUUUUCAUUGUAAAAAUAAAUCAUAUUUAUAAAUU
rnacentral:tRNA from 1 species